rnacentral:tRNA from 2 species
GCCCUUGUAGCUCAAUCGGCAGAGCAACUGACUCUUAAUCAGUAGGUUCUAGGUUCGAUUCCUAGCGGGGGCAC